AUUGAACGCUGGCGGAAUGCUUUACACAUGCAAGUCGAACGGCAGCACGGACUUCGGUCUGGUGGCGAGUGGCGAACGGGUGAGUAAUACAUCGGAACGUGCCCAGUCGUGGGGGAUACCGUAGCGAAAGCUACGCUAAUACCGCAUACGAGCUAAGGAUGAAAGCGGGGGAUCGCAAGACCUCGCGCGAUUGGAGCGGCGGAUAUCAGAUUAGGUAGUUGGUGGGGUAAAGGCUCACCAAGCCGACGAUCUGUAGCUGGUCUGAGAGGACGACCAGCCACACUGGGACUGAGACACGGCCCAGACUCCUACGGGAGGCAGCAGUGGGGAAUUUUGGACAAUGGGCGAAAGCCUGAUCCAGCCAUGCCGCGUGCAGGAUGAAGGCCUUCGGGUUGUAAACUGCUUUUGUACGGAACGAAAAGGUUUGGCCUAAUAAGCUGAGCUCAUGACGGUACCGUAGGAAUAAGCACCGGCUAACUACGUGCCAGCCGCCGCAGUAA
rnacentral:rRNA from 1 species